GACGAACGCUGGCGGCGUGCUUAACACAUGCAAGUCGAACGGAAAGGCGAUGAGUUUGUGGGGCGCUCGAGUGGCGAACGGGGGAGUAAAACGUGUGUAACACGUCCCUGACUUUGGGAUAACUUCAGGAAAAUGGGGCUAUUAUCGGAUAGGAGCUCCUGCUGCAUGGUGGGGGAUGGUGAGAGUCGGCGGUUGGGGCUGGACUGGCGGCUUAUGGGCUGGUUGGGGGGGUAGGGGAGUACAAAGGCUUUGACGGGUAGCCGGCCUGGGAGGGUGGCCGGCCUCAAUGGUACUGCGAUACGGCCCAGACUCCUACGGGAGGCAGCAGUGGAGAGUCUUGCACAGUGGGCGGGAGCCUGAUGCGGCAACGCCGCGUGCGGGAUGACCUCCUUCUAGUUGUAAACCGCUUUCGCCUGUGACGAAGCGUGAGUGACGGUAAUGGGUAAAGAAGCACCGGCUAACUACGUG
rnacentral:rRNA from 1 species